rnacentral:rRNA from 1 species
CCUACGGGAGACAGCAGUGGGGAAUAUUGCACAAUGGGGGAAACCCUGAUGCAGCGACGCCGCGUGAGUGAAGAAGUACUUCGGUAUGUAAAGCUCUAUCAGCAGGGAAGAAAGAGCGACCUUGGGGGCGCCAGACGGUAGCUGAUGAAGAAGCACCGGCUAACGACGUGCCAGCAGCCGCGGGAAGACGUAGGGGGCAAGAGUGAUCCGGAUUUACUGGGUGGAAAGGGAGCGUAGACGGCAGCGCAAGUCGGAAGUGAAAUGCCGGGGCUUAACCCCGGAACUGCUUUGGAAACUGUGCAGCUAGAGUGCAGUAGAGGUAAGUGGCAUUCCUCGUGUAGCGGUG